AAGGUAGCAUAAUAAAUUGACUUUUAAUUGAAGCCUUGAAUGAAAGGAUAAAUGAGUAAUUACUAUAUUAUAUUAAUUUAUUAUAAUUUAUUUAAAAGGUGAAAAUCCCUUUAUUAUAUAUAAUAGACGAGAAGACCCUAGGAGUUUAUAAAAAUUUAUUUUGUUGGGGCAACAUUAUAGCAUUUAAUCUAUAAUUAUAAAUUAAUGAAACGAGAAUUUCUAAUAAUAAUUAAACUACCCUAGGGAUAACAGCAUAAAGUUUGUGACCUCGAUGUUGGACUAGGGAAUUUAAAGUUAACAGCGUUAAAUGAUAGUUCUGUUCGAACUUAUUUACCU
rnacentral:rRNA from 1 species